AUUGAACGCUGGUGGCAGGCCUAACACAUGCAAGUCGAACGAGUGGCGGACGGGUGAGUACUGUCUGGGAAACUGCCUGAUGGAGGGGGAUAACUACGGGAAACGGUAGCUAAUACCGCAUACCAUCAGAUGUACCCAGAUGGGAUUAGCUUGUUGGUGGGGUAACGGCUCACCAGGGCGAAGAUCCCUAGCUGGUCUGAGAGGAUGACCAGCCACACUGGAACUGAGACACGGCCCAGACUCCUACGGGAGGCAGCAGUGGGGAAUAUUGCACAAUGGGCGAAAGCCUGAUGCAGCCAGGCCGCGUGUAUGAAGAAGGCCUUCGGGUUGUAAAGUACUUUCAGCGGGGAGUCGUUACCCGCAGAAGAAGCACCGGCUAACUCCGUGCCAGCAGCCGCGGUAAUUC
rnacentral:rRNA from 1 species